rnacentral:rRNA from 1 species
AUUGAACGCUGGCGGCAUGCCUUACACAUGCAAGUCGAACGGUAACGGGCCUUCGGGUGCCGACGAGUGGCGAACGGGUGAGUAAUGUAUCGGAACGUACCUUUCAGUGGGGGAUAACGUAGCGAAAGUUACGCUAAUACCGCAUAUUCUGUGAGCAGGAAAGCAGGGGAUCGCAAGACCUUGCGCUGAUUGAGCGGCCGAUAUCAGAUUAGCUAGUUGGUGAGGUAAAGGCUCACCAAGGCGACGAUCUGUAGCGGGUCUGAGAGGAUGAUCCGCCACACUGGAACUGAGACACGGUCCAGACUCCUACGGGAGGCAGCAGUGGGGAAUUUUGGACAAUGGGGCAACCCUGAUCCAGCCAUGCCGCGUGAGUGAAGAAGGCCUC